rfam:Picea glauca, whole genome shotgun sequence.
GUCGUUGUAGUAUAGUGGUGAGUAUUCCCGCCUGUCAUGCGGGUAACCCGGGUUCGAUCCCCGACAAUGACG